ensembl:lncRNA
GCAUUCGUAACUCCCCAUGCACAAGAGCUGACUGUGGCUCUGGGAAGACAUUUUACUCAUUUGCUUUCUUUUUUCUUGUAGUCUUCUUGUCCAGUUCUCAGGUGUUUACCACCUAUUAGAAUUUCACCUGUAUGGGUCCUGUGUUUGAGAAAGUCCCAGGACCUGUCAGCUCUAUAGGCCUCAUAAAAGACAGCUCUGUUCAGGUCUUGAAAGGGACUGCAGUUAAAAGCUAGGGCUAGGACUUGGAGGAUGUGUAGGCAAACGGAAGGAGAGCCGGGGAAGAAAAACCGAAAUGGAUUCAUUCUCUGUCCUGGAUGGAGGAGGAGAGGAGAAGCGGACGUGCAAGCUUCCUUCAGCUGCCUCUGUCCGGUGGAAAGUGCUCAGACCCCCGGGGCUGCGCCGGGCUGAGGCUCCGCACGGACUUUCGCUCCAAGCUGCCAAUCAAGGCUCUCGCUAGCCACCACCCUGCUCUGGCACCGACACGAUCUGCAGGAUCUCCCCCUGUGAGAUGCAACUCAGCAGCUCUGUCCCCUCUGCCAUCUCAGCGCUGCCAGUGGAGAAGCCCAGGAGGAGCACAGAGCAGUGGCUGAGCAGCAAUCUGAAUAUUCGUAUUUAACUCUUCAAACAACAGAAGAUACUUCAAAACCAAUGCGCUUUCUGAUGCAUUUCAAGUGUUUUCUGUCAAUACCAUGAGACCUUGCUUACCUGGUAAAUUUUAUGUGUGAAAUGAUUAGUGUUCGAAGUGCCUGAAAAAGCCAAAGGUUCUCACAUACUGACAAGGUGCUGCAAACACCCUGUGACAAAGAUCAGAGGGAAAUACUUAUUUGAAGAAAUCUUUGCCAUUAGCUGUAUUAGACACAUACUCCCGCUGCCACCCAGUCAGUCCUGUAACGUUGCACUUGUGGCCUUAAUCCCACUUGGAUGUGCGCCCUGCUGCCUCCACUUUCCGUCACUUGGUGUUCUGCCAGAAGGGCUAUAUUCUGACUGUUGUUUGACAGAGGCAAACAUGAGUAACCCUACUCUCUUCUUACACUUGAGACACUGAAAAAAGCUGAAAGAUAAUUGAAGAGGAAAAAAACCCUGUAUAAAAUUGAACAGCAAACUCUGUGUACAUCUGUGUGCACAUACAAGUGCACACGCAUGUACUGCUGCUGGCGUGCUUGUUUUCAAGUGGAGAUUUCAGUGAUGGUCGAUUUAACAUAAACUUGAAGUGUACAACAGACUGUUUUGUGUGGCCUGCUGCUUAUUUCAUGAGCUGUUCUUUCCCAUUUCAAGCAAGCGUAAUGUGCUGCAGCGCUGUCAGCACCCCACCAGUCUCGUGAUUGGGAUGCGAUACUGAAAUUCCAGGAGGUCUUUUCCCACUGAUGACUUGGAGCAGAAGCGACUUUGGUGGCAAAGGGGCUGCACUGGGGCCAGCCAGGCUCUUGAGGUGGUCCAUGGCAGUGGGAAACAUCAGUGGCCCUGGAGUUCCUGCAGGUGUUGAACAUCCAAAGGUCUCCGGCAAUGUUGCAUCCACACAUGUCAUGUGCAUCCAGCUGCAUGAGCGCAGUGUGUGUUUGUUCGUCUGGCUGCCAGACACACGGUGACUGGGGCUGGGGAGGGCAGCUCUGGGGCUGCUCUGGGUGCUGGAGCUGCUGAGAUCCCCCCCAUCCCUAUGGCUCUGCACAGUCCCCUGAGCUGUGUGAAGCUACACAAAGUUUCCUCUAAUCAUGAAUUUAAUAUGCUUUCAGACUUGACAAUCUCCUUUUAAAUGAAAACAUUUAUGUGGAGCAAAAGGCAUGUUAGCCUCUCCAAAUAAAUGGAAUUAUGGUUCCAAGAUCUGACUUAAUCCUGAAGCUCUUACACUGUACAGUAAGUAGAAAAGAAAGAGGAUUGCUUAUUGGAGGAUGGGUUAGCAGGAUCAGGCUCCAUUUUAUAUCAUUUCACUCAUUUUCCUUCUGGUAUUUAAUCUACCUUUUUCAGAACUCCCACUGGCUGUUCAUAACAAAGUCAAAGUAACUUCACAGCUAUUACCUAUUGGCAAACACUAAUAAUUGAGAAUAAUGAGGGGUGGUACAGAGAGUGCCCACCCAGCUUUCCUUCUAGGAAAAUGUGAGGAUUGUUAAACAAACCAAAAAUGCCAUUCUUCCAGAUGUAUUUUCAUCAUAAAGUCAUGUCCUUUAAAAAUCGAUUUCAAGAUGUUUCUCAAAUGCAUUGUAACUAUUUAUUCUUUUUCUAACUGUUUUCUUUGUGAAACUGUAUUUUAAAUCUGCAUUUAUGUUUCAAACAAUCUGAGGGAAGAUGUUCAUGAAGUAAUGGUGCUGUUUGUAUUUGUUCUGUUUCUCAAAAUAGAAUUUCUGAUCAGAUAACAUUAAAAUAUUUUUG